CGGCACGGGUGAGUAACACGUAUCCAACCUGCCGUCUACUCUUGGACAGCCUUCUGAAAGGAAGAUUAAUACAAGAUGGCAUCAUGAGUCCGCAUGUUCACAUGAUUAAAGGUAUUCCGGUAGACGAUGGGGAUGCGUUCCAUUAGAUAGUAGGCGGGGUAACGGCCCGCCUAGUCUUCGAUGGAUAGGGGUUCUGAGAGGAAGGUCCCCCACAUUGGAACUGAGACACGGUCCAA
rnacentral:rRNA from 1 species